CCUGAGCUAACAUCUGCUGCCAAUCCUCCUCUUUUUGCUGAGGAAGACUGGCCCUGAGCUAACAUCCGUGCCCAUCUUCCUCUGCUUUAUAUGUGGGAUGCCUGCCAUAGCAUGGCUUGCCAAGCGGUGUGUACGUCUGCACCUGGGAUCCAAACCGGCAAACCCUGGGUGGCCGAAGUAAAACGUGGGAACUUAACUGCUGCGCCACGAGGCCAGCCCCACAAUUACUGUUUAUCUAUACUGUCGAGGCCUCCCAUCCCUCCUCAUCCCUGUCUCCCAGGAAGAAACCAUCAAAUUGCAGUUUCAUGCCCUUGUCCAGAAGAGCUGCUGCUGGGACUGUGCUUUCCAAACAUAACCGACACAGAGUGUUUACUGCAUGGUCACUUUCAUAGCAAACACAGGAAGAGCACUCUGCCCCUUCCUCUGUUCGCAGAGGCUCUGAGAAAUGGUCAAGGGCUUGGCCCUGAAGCCGCAGAUGGAAUCGUCUGUGGAUCCCAACAGUCUUCCACAAUUAAGGCAGAAGAGGCCUUAGAGAGGUGGAGGGCAGCUCCCGUGAAUGCAGAGGUCCACAGAGGAACUGCCAGGCUUCUGUAAAGCCCCUAAAUUCAUGCAAAUGAAGGAAACAAGACUGAGCGGCCUUCUGUCCAGAAAGCAGGAAAUGAAGCCUGUCUGGGACCACAUAUUCCCUUGGGACACGUCGUAGUGUCAGAAAUGGGUUCUGGAAGAAGCUGGCCUUUGUUCAUUUCUGUUUCGUGAGUGAGCUCCUCCUCUUGGCCCUGGCUGGAGGGGUGGCUUCCCACCCACAUUCCCCAGGAGUGUUAAACCAAAGAGAAGCUCAUCAGGACUCCAGUCAGGCUCUGCUAUCUCUAGAGCCGCCAUCAGAAGCGCCCGCCCUCCUCAGCCUUGCUUUCCACUGACAGAAACGUUGACUUUUCCAGAUGAGAUGUUCUGAGCCAACCAGUUGCUCUCACAUGAAGCAGAACCACAGUCAUGAGGAGGCAGCUUAUCCUCGGGCCCUAAGAGGCCGGAGCUGAUGCUGUUGCACUUGGCUGGAUUGAUGUUUAAAUGUCCUCUGCCUCACAGGCAGCCUUCCCUCCGGCCGGAGGGACCCUGGAUCUCUGUAACCUCUGUGAGGGGUAAAGUCUACUGUUAAUCUCACUAACGAGGGGUCUGUUUCACAAACCGGCCAAGCCCUGGUUUCUUCCAAGGAGACAUAACAGUGUUUUCUGCAGAGGGGCCUGUGAUAAGAUAUCUCAGAAAUGGAGUGAUUUAGGGCUAGCCCGGUGGCGCAGCAAAGUUCACACGUUCUGCUUCGGUGGCCUGGGGUUCGCUGGGUUUGGAUCCCAGGUGCAUAGGGCACAGCUUGGCAAGCCAUGCUGUCUCAGGCAUUCCACAUAUAAAAUAGAAGAUGAUGGACACUGAUGUUAGCUCAGGGCCAGGCUUCCUCAGCAAAAAGAGGAGGAUUGGCGGCAGAUGUUACCUCAGGGCCAAUCUUCCUCAAAAAAGAAAAGAAAAAGAAAUGAGGUGAUUUAUAAAAAGGAUGUUAUUUCCUACAGAGUAGGAAGCUGGAAGAUCCUUUUAGAUAUUAUUUACUCAUUAGACAGACCGAUAAAGAAACUAAAGCCCAGAGCAGGGCAGUAGCUGCUGGAGGGCCCAGAGCCACGUGGUAGGAGAGCUGGGAGAGAGGCCUGGGUACUGAGCGAGCUGCUGUGUUUGGGCUGCUCUGCACAUCCCCGUGUUUCUGUAUUCCUCCAUGCUCACGGAGUCUUCCUCAGACUUCAGUCUCCAGAUGUGCCAUAGUUUAAUUUGGGGGUCCUCAAGUCAAAAUUUCAAGAACUGAAGAAUACGGAUCAUGAGACCUGCUGAAUAACAUCGAAGGAACUUCUGAACACGCCACCAUUUAAGCGGAGAGGGUCCCUCCCUUCCGCUGCAAUCAGGCUAUUACAGGCUCGCUCUGCCUCUUACCCGCUGGGCGCAGGCCAAGCCCAGAGCCCGGAGCUCCUACUAUGACUUGGCCGAGCAGCAAGCUAUUCAUCCACACGUCCAAGGCCACUUUUGUGCGAACAGCUUCGCAUCACCUGCCCCUGGAGACUUCGGAUCACCCCUCUGCUCCCCCGCCCUCCCCUGCUCCAGCCCCUCUCUGGCUGUGCAGGAGCCAAAGGGGAUUUGUGAUAACAGAGUCACAGGCACAGGCCCAACCCAGGCCCGAGGAGCUUGACCUGAGGCAAGAGCAUAGCCCAGAACAACACACGCCACUCCCCAGCAAGGAGGGGUGGCCUGGCACUCAAAUCGAAAACUCCUGGGCUUUUGAUGGAAGCCAUAAAACAAAGGUAGUAUUCCAGAAGGAAUCUCAGAUCCUUGUUCAUACUGGAGCCCAAGUGACCAUCAAAACAAGAGGCUGCUUCUCCAUAGGCAGUUCCGAGGAUCAAGGUUCCUGUUAAUUCUGGAUUUGGAAAAACAUACCUGGGAAGGAGGCAGGCACUCCCACUGCAUUACCUCUGAGAAAGACACACCUGCAAAUAACGUCCACUGUGGUGGAUUUGGGAUUGUCCAGAAUGUGACUGUGUAAGGCUGGGAUUGGAAGCCCGUUCUGAAUAUGUGCCUGAGUACCACGUCAGUUCAGCCGUGCUGAGCCUGAGCGAGGCGUCCUCCCUCACAAGCUUCCCAGGACCCCUUGGCUGUGCACACAAAGAGAAGCCGGCUUUUCUUGUUUGCGCCUUUGCUCCUUCCUAUUUGAUUGAAUUUGAAGAGGAACUGUUUGCCUUUGGCUGCACAUCCUGAAUCAUAAUCAGGAUGCUGCUGGCACAGAAAACCUGCUCCCACCCUUGCCUGAAAUAACUGAACAGGGAAGUCGAGAUCCUCCCCUCUCCAAACUUAAAGAAAGAGGCUCAUAAUUUAUGGAGUGCUGGCAAAGCAUCAAAAGUCAAUCCAGUCACUUACAGUAAAAUCAAGGAGGGCGGAACAAUGAAUAUAAAGUGAGAUUCAAACACCUCAUUAAGGGAACAAAGUGUCCAGUUGACACCAGAAUACUGAUGCUUACAUAUUUGUAAGCCAGAGUCCAGUGGCCUUCUGAGAGACUUCCUUGUCCGCGGGAUAUGAAAGGUAUAAAGCCACACCCUCAGCUUUUUCAGUCCUUCAACAAAUAUGCUUUGCUGAAACCAUCUAUCAAGCAUGGUGCUACUAAGGUAUAUUGGUUUCUUAGGGCUGCUGACACAAAUUACUAUAAACUUGGUGGCUUAAAGCAACAUAAAUUUAUUCCCUCAUAGUUCCAGAGGCCAGAAGUCUGAAGUCAAGGUGUUGGGAGGGCCAGACUCCCUCUGAAGCCUCUAGAGAACUUGCCUCAUUUCUUCCAGCUUCUGGUGGCUCCAGAUAUUUCUUGGCUUGUGGCUGCAUCACUCCUGUCUCUGCCUCUGGCUUGGCGUGACCUCCUCCUCCCUGAGUGUCUGUCUUCGGUGUGUCUCUGAGAAGGGUACUUGUCAUUGGAUUUAGGGCCCACUUGGACAAUCCAGGCUGAUCUCAUCUGGAGAUCCAUAAUUUAAUUGCAUUUGUGAAGACCCUUUUUCCAAAUAUGAUCACAUUCCUAAGUACUAGGGGUUAGGACUUGGUCAUAUCUUUUUGGGUGCCACCGUUCAAGAUCCAGAGGGUAGAAAGUUGAAAAGGACAGGGUUGUUGUUCUCAAGGAGUUCAGGCUAGUAGGGGAGACAAAUAGUUAAAUAACUAUAUCGAAAGAAUAACCGCAUCCAAAGCUGCGUUCCAGGUGCUGAGGGAUCUUAGAAGAGAUUGUACUGGGAACUGAUGCCGAGGUUGUGGUGGGGCAGAGGUAGGGUGUGUGUUUUUUUUUUAACCUUUGAACUCUACAAUUUCCUGGCAUCUAGAAAUCACUAUAGAACGUCAUCAGGUUGAAAAGACAAGUCCAGUUUGAAUAGUGAGGAUUAACACCGGCCCGGCCAGAUCUGUUGGGUCUGGCUGAGUUCAGCUAACCCUUUUGGUUGCCUCGAGGUUUUGGAGAGUCGGCAGGAAAAGGCGAGAAAGCCGAAGCCCAUGAAUUGGUUGAGAUUUUUGAUGGCUAUAUUUCUGAGAGGUGAAGAGCUGGAUGCCAUGAAAUGGGUCAUUGGCUUUCUCUGUGGCAGAGAAUGGGGAAGAGGACCGCUUGCAUCUGCCAUCCAUCCCAGGUCGGAGCGUGUGUGCCCCUGCAGGGCCACCUCGGGCCAAGGCUGUUGCCCCACUGAGAUCUCCUCCUCUGCUCCAAGGCCUUGGGCCGGAUGUUCUGUCUGAGCCUGGUGUGGUGGGGGAAGGCAGCUACUGCCCCAAGACAUGCUAGAGAGAAGAGACAGAACUGUUACUCACUUCUUUUUUGGGACAGCAUUUUUACAAGCUUUGCAGAACAUCACCUGCAGCUUUUUACAUUCUCCUGGGACUUUACCUUCUUUAUGAUUGUUUAUUAUAUUAAAAAGGUUCUUGAUAAUGGCUAUUAUGGAAUUAUUGUUAAUGUUCUUGUGCGUAAUAUGCUUGUUGUGAAAAAUGUCUUUAUUCCUUUUUUUUUUUAAAGAUUCACCCUGAGCUAACAUCUGUUGCCAGUCUUCCUCUUCUUCUUUUUCCUUCCCCAAAGCCCCAGUGCAUGGUUGUAUAUCCUAGUUGUAAGUUCUGGUUCUUCUAUGUGAGCUGCCGCCACAACAUGGCAACUGUCAGAAGCGUAGUGCGGUUCUGAGACCAGGAAGGGAACCCGGGCCACUGAAGAGGUGAGAGCACUGAACUUUAACCACCAGGCCAUCAGGGCUGGCUCAGACGUCUUUAUUCUUAAGGAGCGCAUGCGGAAGUGUUUAUGGGUGAUAUGUGAUAAUGUCUACAAUUUUCAAACACUUCAGUGACAAUAUGGGCACAUAAACCUAAUAACACAAAAAUGUUAAGAAUUGCUAGGUCUAGGCAGAAAGUAUAUGGAUGUUCAUUGCUCUAUUCUUUCACCUUUUCUCUAUGCUUGAAAUUAUUCAUAAUAAAAAACUUGGGAUAGAUUUGGAGAAGAAAAUUCUUGAAACAGAGUUUGUUGACCUGUGUUUCAUGGGCUCUGGCGGGAGAGGUGGAUGGGUGUCGGGGACCAGGAAGCUUCUAAAUUUACAUGUAAACUUUUGUGCUGUGUGUGUGUAUGUGUGUGUGUGUAUGUGUGUGUGUGUGUGUGUGUUUCUUCCCUCUUUGUGGGGAGGGAUUUAUUGUUUGUGCUUCUCCUCUCAUUCUCAAAUGAGUCUAUGACUGCCCCCCACAAGGUUAAACAUCCUUGCUUAAAGCUUGAGAUAAAUUUGCAUGCAUUAUACUUUUUGUAAAUGGAUGCAAACAGAGGAGCAGAGUCUGUUGCUUAUGUAUCAUUAGUAUUUUGUUGCAAAAUUUAAAUUAGAUUAUAAAACUAAAUUGGAUUCUACUUUCCCAUUAUCUUCAUUACUGGUUUCUUGAUUUUUCUUAAUUAAUUCUUUUCCUAUCAUAGUUGAAUUCUUAUACUCUUUUACAAGUUUAAAAUAUUGGUUGCUAACAUGAACAAAUCUGUUUUCCUUUGCACUAAUUUAAAACUGAAAUAAUAAUUUUGGUAUCCCUUUCUAGGUUGUAAAAAUAACACAGACUCACUGUAUACAACUUGUAAAAUACAGAAGUGUAUAAAGAAGGAAAUAAAAUUACCAUUAACCCGUGCUCCAGAGGUCUUAGAAUGUCCAUCAGGAGGGAACGCUUUGAACCAGGCAUCACGCUCUGGGCGGGAUUCCAAGUCAGCCCUGAAAACAGUCAGAGCUACCCCGGGUCCCCUCCUGGCUGCGCAGAAUGGCUGAAAGAGUGGGUUCUCCCUUCUGCCCGGCCCCCCACCCCGGCUCGGUUCCCCACGUCGUCUGAAGAGCCCGCUCUGAGCCCAGACAGCGACGAGACAAGGCGCUUUUCUUACGGCAGGACAUCCUCUCCUCACCCAGACCUCCAAGGAUUUCUCAUCAGAGAGACAAAGUAUCUUUAUUUUAAAGGCUCCAUGUAGCAGGGCCAGAAGUUUCUUGUGUUAUUAAGAAGGGGGUGGGGGAGGGGAAAGGGCCAAUGAGGCUACUUACUUAAUAGCUCCUAACAGCUGUGGAAAGUUUGAUGCAGCAGGAGCACCCGGACAGAAAAUUAAAAAACUAAUAAAGUCCUCAGUGUGGGGGCGCUGGCAUCAGGACAGCUUUACUUCUCCAGACACCUAAUAAAGAGACAUUCCGGGACACUCACUCAUAAGGGGAGUCUGCAGGGGUCACCGGGAACAGUGGAAAGCGAGCCAUGGAAACCUAGCAGUCACUCACAGAGCCGUGGGGAAGUUUCGUUUGCUUCUCCUCUUUCCCCCCCCUGCUUUUCUCCAUUUUGGAAGAAUGGCAGGGUGCUCAGGACCCAAAGAAGGAAAAGGAGGACUGAAAAAAAGAGAAAAAGAGGAGGGGGGCGAUUCCAGGAGCCUCGAUGUAGAAAUCAUGCACUUUCAUGGAGGGAAUGAGCGUGAAGCUGAGGUUGGCAGUUUAGACAUAGCAGGACGGGAGGUGAUGGUCACCAUGCAGGGGCACGUUGAGAUCCUGAGGCGGCUGGCUUCUGGAGGUAGCAGAGAAAGGCGGUUUAGAGAAAUGAGGUUUUAUUCAGCUGGAUUUUAUGAAGCACCCUCCUCACGAAAGGUUUUCUCGUGUGGGUUUUUCCACUGUCGUUACGAGGUCAUUUUGGAUCUGAGCUCCUUGGGGUCUGCUAGGUUCUGGGUUGCUGGGUUGGGACUUUUGCUUUAAAGGACAUUUAUGUUGUUUUGUCUUGGUCCUCAAGUUGGGCUUUGUGUAUUUGAAGAAAAAAAAUGAUGACUUGGGACAACCAAACCAUCAGCCAGUUGUGGAGGCAUCCACUGAGCUGGUGGGGCCAGUCUUCUCGCCAGCACCAAAGGUAGACUGCAGUGGCCUGCUAACAAAAGGAGAGUAAAGUGG
rnacentral:lncRNA from 1 species